GUAGUCUCGCACAGAUGCAUAUCAAUAAGCGGAGGAAAAGAAACUAACAAGGAUUCCCCUAGUAACGGCGAGUGAAGCGGGAAGAGCUCAAAUUUGAAAUCUUAAAGGGUUUCCCUUUACGAAUUGUAGUUUAAAGAAGUGUUUUCUGUUGAGGUUUUGGUAAAAGUUCUUUGGAAUAGGACAUCAUAGAGGGUGAGAAUCCCGUAUUUGACCUUUACUUUCAACUUUGUGAUACACUUUCAAAGAGUCGGAUUGUUUGGGAAUGCAGUCCAAAAUGGGUGGUAAAUUUCAUCUAAAGCUAAAUAUUGGCGAGAGACCGAUAGCGAACAAGUACCGUGAGGGAAAGAUGAAAAGAACUUUGAAAAGGAGAGUUAAACAGUACGUGAAAUUGUCAAAAGGGAAGCGUUUGACACCAGUGUUGUUUUUCUGAAAAUCAAUUAAAGAACUGUUUAUGCUAAGCUGUUUAGACUUUAUCAGCUAACUGUUUAGUUUUGAGCUUUUCUUUAAUGUACUUUUCAGUUAACAAGUCAACAUCAAUUUCUUUUGCUGUAAAAAAGCUUGAGGAAGGUGGCUUGAGAUUCGUCUUAAGUGUUUAUAGCCUCUUGCCUAGGCAGUCGGAGAGAUUGAGGUCUGCAGCGUAGAUCCUUCGGGGCUAAAUGCAUUUGUGCUAAGUUAUAGCAUUUUAUAGACAACUUGUUGACUAUGAUUUGUCUUGUAGGCUUACUCGCUUAUGUUAUUUUACCUACGCUUAGGAUGUUGAAGACUCUACAGAGAUA
rnacentral:rRNA from 1 species